rnacentral:lncRNA from 7 species
GAGGCUGACCAGGAUUUCGGGAUCCCGAUGGCCUCCAGGGGUAUUUACAAGAGCGCAAGCCUCAUCCUCAUCCACACGAUUGGGUCAUCAGCUGCCUAAUCAUAGACCACCGUGCCAAGUGAAGCAACCAAACAAGCCGGGGGAGAGAACCGAUGCCGCUGGGGUCGACCUGCGCGCACACCGGCGAUGAGGCCUCAACGACCGACUUGAGCUCCUCCUUGGGAUGCCUGGAGUUUGCCCGUGACCUCAAAGGGUGGCGCUUGUGUCGGGAUGGCGCAGAAUUUGUCCCCGAAGGCCAACCUCCGCCACGAGUCACUGUAGGGCGUAUGCGACAUUAUCGGUGCCCUCAUCGUGGGUAAGAUCACUCCCAUGGAGUUCGCCUUGGUCUCCUAUGUGCGCAGCAUCAUCAGAAUCAUAGGUUACCGACCUAUAGCGUGGGUCGGGAAAUCCGACCAUGCCGCCACCGUUGACUUGUGGGCGGCGGCGUUGGUGCUGUCAGAGGAAGAAGGUGAACCUAGGGCCGUUUGAUCCACUGGUGGCGAUAGGAUUAGAUCUGGGGGUGUGUCAUCGUUUGCCAUUGAUGCUAAUAUGGUCGGCCACGAUUAUAUCCUGGCAUACCGAUUCGGUAUGUGGGUACUGGCCAUCCGGUGGGGAUCGGAGGAACGUAGUUCGAUCCCGCGUGAGUUAAAUCUGGACCGCUGGUCGCUAAUCCGUUGGUAGAAAUCACACACCGGUUGGGUUAAAGUGUAGAUCUAAUCCGCGCCACUGAUUUUGGAUCGGGUGGCUGGGGUAAGCUGGUACCCGUUCACCGAGUACAUUUUGCAUUGGGAACCCCCUGGUUUCUAGUAUUCAACCCAUCGUCCUACUUUUACAGUAGCACCCUCGGAAUUAAAAUUUGGAAUUGCAAAUAGGUCCUUUGAUUUUUCAAAAAGGUUCCUGGUGAUUGAUUUAGAUAUGUAGAUCACACUAAAAACACCCUAAAACUUCUUUAGUUCGUAACUUUCUCAUUUUAACUCCGAUUUGAUACAUUCGAAUUGCGUUAGGUUCGUAAUAAAAUUAUCUACAUUUUAGUAACCUUAUUAAUGUAACAUGUUUUAAACGAUUAAUUUGUUAACCCUAUGUUCAUUAGAUUAACUUUUCUAAUUAAAGUUAAGGUAAUGUCUUCAGUCCCUAGUUAUAAAGUGACAAAAAUAUGUUUUCUAAUCAAGUUAUAACUUAGAUUAAAAUUAAAUUAAUCUUUUCUUGAGAAUACAUUUUCUCACAUGAUUCAUUAAUCAACAUAGACACAGUUUUCAUAUUUGAUCACAUAAAACUUAUGAAAACUGUAACUUCUUAACCAUAACUCCGGUCUUAGCAGCUCUCGUAGCAGCGCGUAGAAUAUUUUUACGUUGUUUGUUCUUAUUAUUGGUGUGAUGUUAAUUUUGCCUAUGCCAUGUUUGUUUGUAUUGCUACGAGUAGCAGCGAGGUUACGAGUCACUUGAAGACCAAGUUGGUGAAGUACCUGGGAAUCUUGAGUCUAAGUCAAGUUGUAGCUUUGAUCACUCCUUUUUACCUAAUAAUGUUUGUUGUUAAUCACUGUGACAGGCUCAGGUUAAUUUGACGGGACUUAAUAGGUUUCUCUAGCAUUGUUUAUCCCCCACCUCACAAACAACUGAAUUAUUGGGUAGAUUUGCUAUUGCUCUACAUGGUUUUGGGAAUCUAAUGUUUUAUUAUG